rnacentral:piRNA from 1 species
AAAGCACUGUUCUCAAAGUUAAUGC